GGCACACUUCCCGGGAUGCACCGGCGUCCCCUCAAACCGGCAGCAGCGGUACUCGUCCCGGCAUGCACUCGGGCAGCUCACAGUGACACGAGGAAGAUGGCGGCGGCGGCUCUUCAGAUUUACGUGGACGCCGUGCGCCGGGAGUUGCAACGCCAGGAUCCCGCCGUCCUGGGCAUUGCCGUUUCCCUGGCCGUAGUUCUGCUGACGAUUGUUUUCUUCAUAUUCUUGCGGAGAAGAAGAAGUAGCCGCAGAGCAGUGUUGAUUGUUGGUCUAUGUGAUUCUGGGAAGACUCUUUUCUAUUGUAGGCUGUUGUCUGGGAAGUUUAAGGUGACCCAGACUUCGAUAACUAGUAACUCUUCACCGUACAAGGUUAAAAGUGAUAAGGGACCUACUCUUCACUUGUAUGACCUUCCUGGUCAUGAGAGCCUGCGGCUUCAGUUUUUGGAGAAGCACAAAGCUGAGGCCAGGGCCAUCGUGUUUGUGGUGGACAGUGUGUCAUUCCAGAAAGAGGUAAAGGAUGUGGCCGAGUUCCUCUACACACUGCUGACAGACCCACAGAUUGUGAAUAAUGCGACGCCCCUCCUGAUUUCCUGUAACAAACAAGAUGUGACGAUGGCCAAAUCAGCAAAAUUAAUUCAACAGCAACUGGAAAAAGAAAUCAACACUCUGCGGAUGAUUCGCUCUGCUGCACCAAGUUCUUUAGAUGAAUCCGGUAUUGGUAGUGCAGUACCCUUGGGAAAGAAAGGGAAGGACUUUGAUUUCUCACAGGUGCCCAUGAGAGUUGAUUUUGUGGAAUGUAGCGCAAGAGGAAACAAAGGAGAAGAUGGAGAGGCUGACCUUGGGAUUGUGGAAACGUGGUUGCUUAAGACAGCAUGAGCUUCAAGCCAUGAGGAAAAGUUAUGGGGAUGAAGUGCUUGGAGUUUGCAAUUGCAAACUAAAUAUUUUUCCAGGAACAGAUUGUUCAAAAAGACAUAGAACACAACAGCUUGUAAUCACUUUUUCACUGGCAUGAAAUUGUAUGACUACCUUCUCAAACUCUGGAUCCAGUCCAGCGCUGUAACAUUGCUCCUUCAAGCUGCAUCAGUGAUCCAGAGAUGAUGGAAUGUGACACGCAAAAAAGCCACUCUGUGAUGCGACUGCCAAAGAAACUCACUUGAUCCCGGUGGAUAAAGGACCCUGUCUGCAUCACAAUUGUGCUUUUCUGCAGAUACAAAAAUACAAAAAAAAAUUGUACCGUUCCAGUUAUUGAAAAAGUGCGUUUACAGAAACUCAAAGAAUGCUUCAAGGUUGCCUACAGUUUCUACUUUUUUUACAUUUUUUUUGGGCAAAUCUUUACUCAAUAAAAUACAUUAUGUUACAACAGAA